AGAUGGUACAUCGUUCUCAUAAUCGCUUGGUCGUUGGUUCAAACCCAACAGGGGCCACCA
rnacentral:tRNA from 1 species